GGGACACGUGGUAUCCUGUCUGAAUAUGGGGGGACCAUCCUCCAAGGCUAAAUACUCCUGACUGACCGAUAGUGAACCAGUACCGUGAGGGAAAGGCGAAAAGAACCCCGGCGAGGGGAGUGAAAAAGAACCUGAAACCGUGUACGUACAAGCAGUGGGAGCCUCUUAAUGGGGUGACUGCGUACCUUUUGUAUAAUGGGUCAGCGACUUAUAUUCUGUAGCAAGGUUAACCGAAUAGGGGAGCCGAAGGGAAACCGAGUCUUAACUGGGCGUUAAGUUGCAGGGUAUAGACCCGAAACCCGGUGAUCUAGCCAUGGGCAGGUUGAAGGUUGGGUAACACUAACUGGAGGACCGAACCGACUAAUGUUGAAAAAUUAGCGGAUGACUUGUGGCUGGGGGUGAAAGGCCAAUCAAACCGGGAGAUAGCUGGUUCUCCCCGAAAGCUAUUUAGGUAGCGCCUCGUGAAUUCAUCUCCGGGGGUAGAGCACUGUUUCGGCAAGGGGGUCAUCCCGACUUACCAACCCGAUGCAAACUGCGAAUACCGGAGAAUGUUAUCACGGGAGACACACGGCGGGUGCUAACGUCCGUCGUGAAGAGGGAAACAACCCAGACCGCCAGCUAAGGUCCCAAAGUCAUGGUUAAGUGGGAAACGAUGUGGGAAGGCCCAGACAGCCAGGAUGUUGGCUUAGAAGCAGCCAUCAUUUAAAGAAAGCGUAAUAGCUCACUGGUCGAGUCGGCCUGCGCGGAAGAUGUAACGGGGCUAAACCAUGCACCGAAGCUGCGGCAGCGACACUAUGUGUUGUUGGGUAGGGGAGCGUUCUGUAAGCCUGUGAAGGUGGCCUGUGAGGGUUGCUGGAGGUAUCAGAAGUGCGAAUGCUGACAUAAGUAACGAUAAAGCGGGUGAAAAGCCCGCUCGCCGGAAGACCAAGGGUUCCUGUCCAACGUUAAUCGGGGCAGGGUGAGUCGACCCCUAAGGCGAGGCCGAAAGGCGUAGUCGAUGGGAAACAGGUUAAUAUUCCUGUACUUGGUGUUACUGCGAAGGGGGGACGGAGAAGGCUAUGUUGGCCGGGCGACGGUUGUCCCGGUUUAAGCGUGUAGGCUGGUUUUCCAGGCAAAUCCGGAAAACCAAGGCUGAGGCGUGAUGACGAAGCACUACGGUGCUGAAGC
rnacentral:rRNA from 1 species